UACGUAGGGGGCUAACGUUGUCCGGAUUUAUUGGGCGUAAAGAGCGUGUAGGCGGCCAGGUAGGUCUGCUGUGAAAACUCGAGGCUCAACCUCGAGACGUCGGCGGAAACCAUCUGGCUAGAGUCCGGAAGAGGAGAGUGGAAUUCCUGGUGUAGCGGUGAAAUGCGCAGAUAUCAGGAAGAACACCCGUGGCGAAGGCGGCUCUCUGGGACGGUACUGACGCUGAGACGCGAAAGCGUGGGGAGCGAACAGG
rnacentral:rRNA from 1 species